rnacentral:ncRNA from 5 species
AGUUACCACAGGGAUAACUGGCUUG